rnacentral:rRNA from 1 species
UCUACGGGAGGCAGCAGUGGGGGAUAUUGCACAAUGGGGGAAACCCUGAUGCAGCGACGCCGCGUGUGGGAAGACGGUCCUCUGGAUUGUAAACCACUGUCCCCAGGGACGAAGAUGACGGUACCUGGGGAGGAAGCUCCGGCUAACUACGUGCCAGCAGCCGCGGUAAUACGUAGGGAGCGAGCGUUGUCCGGAAUUACUGGGUGUAAAGGGAGCGUAGGCGGGACUGCAAGUUGGGUGUCAAAUCUACCGGCUCAACCGGUAGCCGCACUCAAAACUGCAGUUCUGGAGUGAAGUAGAGGCAGGCGGAAUUCCUAGUGUAGCGGUGAAAUGCGUAGAUAUUAGGAGGAACACCAGUGGCAAAGGCGGCCUGCUGGGCUUUUACUGACGCUGAGGCUCGAAAGUGUGGGGAGCAAACAGGAUUAGAUACCCCUGUAGUC